rnacentral:rRNA from 1 species
UCCUAUGGGAGGCAGCAGUGUGGAAUCUUCCGCAAUGGACGAAAGUCUGACGGUGCAACGCCGCGUGUAUGAUGAAGGUCUUCGGAUUGUAAAGUACUGUCUUUGGGGAAGAAUGACUGAUUUAAAAUAUGAGUCAGUAUGACGGUACCCAAGGAGGAAGCCCCGGCUAACUACGUGCCAGCAGUCGCGGUAGUACGUAGGGGGCGAGCGUUGUCCGGAAUGAUUGGGCGUAAAGGGCGCUUAGGCGAAUUUUUAAGUCUGGGUGUAAGAUCAGGGCUCAACUCUGAGAGUGCAUCGGAAACUGGAGAUCUUGAGGACAGGAGAGGAUGUGGAAUUCCACGUGUAGCGGUGAAAUGCGUAUAUAUGUGGUGAACACCAGUGGCGAAGGCGACUUCCUGGACUGUAAGUGACGCUGAGGCGCGAAAGCGUGGGGAGCAAACAGGAUUAGAUACCCUGGUAGUCCACGCUGUAACGAUGAGUGCUAGGUGUAGAGGGUAUCGAUCCCUUCUGUGCCGCAGUUAACACAAUUAGCACUCCGCCUGGGGAGUACCCGCAAGGUUGA